AACGAACGCUGGCGGCAUGCCUAACACAUGCAAGUCGAACGAAGCCUUCGGGCUUAGUGGCGCACGGGUGCGUAACGCGUGGGAAUCUGCCCUUGGGUUCGGAAUAACAGUUAGAAAUGACUGCUAAUACUGGAUGAUGUCUUCGGACCAAAGAUUUAUCGCCCAAGGAUGAGCCCGCGAAGGAUUAGGUAGUUGGUGGGGUAAUGGCCCACCAAGCCGACGAUCCUUAGCUGGUCCGAGAGGAUGAUCAGCCACACUGGGACUGAGACACGGCCCAGACUCCUACGGGAGGCAGCAGUGGAGAAUAUUGGACAAUGGGCGAAAGCCUGAUCCAGCAAUGCCGCGUGAGUGAUGAAGGCCUUAGGGUUGUAAAGCUCUUUUACCAGGGAUGAUAAUGACAGUACCUGGGGAAUAAGCUCCGGCUAACUCCGUGCCAGCCGCCGCAGUAAGAC
rnacentral:rRNA from 1 species